rnacentral:tRNA from 1 species
GGGGUUGUGGCUCAGUGGUAGAGCAUUUGCCUUGCAUGUGAGAGGCACUGGGUUCAAUCCUCAGCACCA